rnacentral:rRNA from 1 species
AACGAACGCUGGCGGCAGGCUUAACACAUGCAAGUCGAGCGAAGCCUUCGGGCUUAGCGGCGGACGGGUGAGUAACGCGUGGGAACGUGCCCAUUCCUGCGGAAUAGGCCCUGGAAACGGGGUUUAAUACCGCAUACGCCCUUCGGGGGAAAGAAUUUCGGGGAUGGAUCGGCCCGCGUUGGAUUAGGUAGUUGGUGGGGUAAAAGCCUACCAAGCCGACGAUCCAUAGCUGGUUUUAGAGGAUGAUCAGCCACACUGGGACUGAGACACGGCCCAGACUCCUACGGGAGGCAGCAGUGGGGAAUCUUAGACAAUGGGGGCAACCCUGAUCUAGCCAUGCCGCGUGAGUGAUGAAGGUCUUAGGAUCGUAAAGCUCUUUCGCCGGGGAAGAUAAUGACGGUACCCGGUAAAGAAACCCCGGCUAACUCCGUGCCAGCCGCCGCCGUAAAAC